rnacentral:sRNA from 1 species
GCUGGGCACAGUGGUGCAUGCUUGAAAUCCCAGCUGCUCCGGAGACUGAGGCAGGAGAAUCAUGAGUUCAAAGCCAGCCUUUGCAACUUAGUAAGAUCCUGUCUCUA